UACGGGGGGAGCAAGCGUUGUUCGGAUUUACUGGGCGUAAAGGGCGCGUAGGCGGUCAGCACAAGUCAGUUGUGAAAUCUCCGGGCUUAACUCGGAAAGGUCAACUGAUACUGUGCGACUAGAGUGCAGAAGGGGCAACUGGAAUUCUCGGUGUAGAGGUGAAAUUCGUAGAUAUUCGCAAGAACACCAGUGGCGAAGGCGGCUCACUGGCCCGGUACUGACGCUGAGGUGCGAAAGCGUGGGGAGCAAACAGGG
rnacentral:rRNA from 1 species